rnacentral:rRNA from 1 species
CCUACGGGAGGCAGCAGUGGGGAAUCUUCCGCAAUGGGCGAAAGCCUGACGGAGCAACGCCGCGUGAUCGAAUGAAGGCCUUCGGGUUGUAAAGAUCUGUUGACAGGGACGAAUAAGCCAUGCGUAUAGUUUGGUGUAUGACGGUACCUGUUUAGAAAGCUCCGGCUAACUACGUGCCCGCAGCCGCGGGAAUACGGAGGGAGCAAGCGUUUUCCGGAAUUACUGGGCGUAAAGGGCGCGUAGGUGGGUGCUUAAGUCAGGUGUGAAAACUCUGGGCUCAACCUGGGGACUGCACUUGAAACUGGGUAUCUUGAGGGCGGGAGAGGAAAGUGGAAUUCCUGGUGUAGGGGUGAAAUGCGUAGAUAUUAGGAGGAACAUCAGUGGCGAAGGCGACUUUCUGGACUGUACCUGACGCUGAGGCGCGAAAGCGUGGGUAGCGAACGGGAUUAGAUACCCGUGUAGUC